UACGUAGGGGGCAAGCGUUGUCCGGAUUUAUUGGGCGUAAAGAGCUCGUAGGCGGUUUGGACAGUCGGGUGUGAAAGCCAAGGGCUCAACCCUUGAAAGCCGGUUGAUACUGUCGGGCUAGAGUCCGGAAGAGGCGAGUGGAAUUCCCGGUGUAGCGGUGAAAUGCGCAGAUAUCGGGAGGAACACCAAUGGCGAAGGCAGCUCGCUGGGACGGUACUGACGCUGAGACGCGAAAGCGUGGGGAGCAAACAGG
rnacentral:rRNA from 1 species